GACGAACGCUGGCGGCGUGCUUAACACAUGCAAGUCGAGCGGAGCGGCGAACGGGUGAGUAAUGCGUGAGUCACUGCCCCCCUCUCUGGGAUAACAGUUGGAAACGGCUGCUUAUACAGGAUCGUGGGGGAUGUCUCCCGUCCUAUCAGCUUGUUGGUGGGGUAGUGGCCUACCAAGGAGACGACGGGUAGCCGGCCUGAGAGGGCGACCGGCGUCAUUGGGCUGCGAGACGGCCCAAACUCCUACGGGGGGCAGCAGGGGGGAAUAUUGUACAAUGGGGGAAACCCUGAUGCAGAAACGCCGGGUGCGUGAUGACGGCCUUCGGGUUGUAAACCGCUUUCAGCUAUGACGCGGUAGUGGCAGAAGAAGCACCGGCUAACUACGUGCCAGCCGCCGCGGUAAUUC
rnacentral:rRNA from 1 species